GUUGACGUGGCCCAAUUUAACUUAACAAGAUUUGAAACGAUAGAAAUAAUAAUUAAUUAUAAAAUGAAACAAAAAGGAACAGCUUUGUGUUGUGUCGUUUGCCAUGGCAGCUGCCAUCUUCGCUGCUUCUUCUUCUUCCUCUUAUUCCCUUUUACUCGCAUCUCCAACGAACUCCAAGAGUCUUUCUAGGAGCAGAUUCAUAGUUAAAAAAUCAACGGGCAGUGUCCGCUUGAUCAGAAACAGAAGAUCAUCAACUAGGAGAAUUGCAGCCAUCAACGACAUUGCGGCUGCGGCGGAUUCAGGCCAAGUUGGAGUGACCUGGCAAAUCGUUGUUGGAGCUAUAGCUGGAGUAACACCUUUCGUGGUAGCCGGGAUUGAGUUCAGCAAAAGAAUAAUAGCUCAGAGAAGAUGCGAGUUAUGUGGUGGGUCAGGGCUUGUUCUUAGAGAAAAUGACUAUUUUCGAUGCCCUGGUUGCGGUAUGACUUCUAGCUACUACUUUUUAUUUCUCUGUUUGUAUGCCAUGUUAUGUGUAUAUGUGAAGGACUUAAGUUAAGCGUACUGUCUGGCAGGAGGAUUUCUACCAUGGCAGUCGUGGAAAAGAUUCUUCUCUGGUUAAUUUGAAAGAGCUCAUGGAAAAUUGUCGAGAAUUUCUAAGUUGAUGUCCUGUCCCUUGGUGAAAGAAUUUUGAAAUGAAGAAAGCAAUGCAAUUACUUGUAUAAGUAUUCCCUCCCCUUCCCCACGACCCCCCUUCUUUUUUUUAUUCUUAUUUCGUUUACUUUUCUUGUUUUGUUCCUUGAAUUGGCUAUAAAAAUUCAAUGGAUUAUCUACAUAUUGAAAAUCUAAAUAAUUU
rnacentral:misc_RNA from 1 species